GGCGCGCUUAACACAUGCAAGUCGCACGAGAAAGCGGGGGCAACCUCGUGAGUAAAGUGGCGUACGGGUGAGUAACACGUGGAUCAUCUGCCCUUUGGUGGGGAAUAACGUUGGGAAACCGGCGCUAAUACCGCAUAAGCUCGAGAGAGGAAAGCAGCAAUGCGCCGAAGGAGGAGUCCGCGGCCGAUUAGUUAGUUGGUAGGGUAAUGGCCUACCAAGACUGUGAUCGGUAGCCGGCCUGAGAGGGCACACGGCCACACUGGCACUGAAACACGGGCCAGACUCCUACGGGAGGCAGCAGUGGGGAAUCUUGCACAAUGGGGGAAACCCUGAUGCAGCGACGCCGCGUGAGCGAUGAAGCCCCUCGGGGUGUAAAGCUCUUUCGGCAGGGACGAAUACUGACGGUACCUGCAGAAGCAGCUGCGGCUAACUACGUGCCAGCAGCCGCGGUAAUACGUAGGCAGCGAGCGUUGUUCGGAGUUACUGGGCGUAAAGGGUGUGUAGGCGGUUCUCUAAGUUCGGUGUGAAAUCUCCCGGCUCAACUGGGAGGGUGCGCCGGAAACUGGAGGGCUUCGAGUGCGGGAUGGGAGAGUGGAAUUCCUGGUGUAGCGGUGAAAUGCGUAGAUAUCAGGAGGAACACCUGUGGUGUAGACGGCUCUCUGGACCGUAACUGACGCUGAAACACGAGAGCGUGGGUAGCAAACAGGAUUAGAUACCCUGGUAGUCCACGCCCUAAACGAUGCACAUUUGGUGUAGGUCAUUCAUUUGAUCUGUGCCGGAGCUAACGCGUUAAAUGUGCCGCCUGGGGAGUACGGUCGCAAGGCUGAAACUUAA
rnacentral:rRNA from 1 species